rnacentral:lncRNA from 1 species
GUCUUUUCCUGUUAAUUGUGUUUCUAUAUGUUUAUAAGUUUCUCCAUAGUUGGAGCACCGUCUAUUUGUUAAAACACCCCUAAAGUUGGUAUAAUCUUGAUUUUCACCCCUUUAAGUAUAAUGGACCGUUCCAUAUGGUAGUAUAUAAACCAGCUCAAGACAGAGAAACUUUGUCAGUUAUAUGUGGACCGUUGAAGUGAUUACAUCAGGGAUUAUUUUCCAACUGGUAAGUAGAGUGAAUU